rnacentral:rRNA from 1 species
UACGAAGGGGGCUAGCGUUGUUCGGAAUUACUGGGCGUAAAGGGCGCGUAGGCGGUACUUCAAGUCAGGCGUGAAAGCCCCGGGCUCAACCUGGGAACCGCGCUUGAGACUGGAGAACUAGAGUUCGGGAGAGGAUGGUGGAAUUCCCAGUGUAGAGGUGAAAUUCGUAGGUAUUGGGAAGAACACCGAUGGCGAAGGCAGCCAUCUGGACCGACACUGACGCUGAGGCGCGAAAGCGUGGGGAGCAAACAGG